UCCAAUCCCGGGCUGUAUAUGGAGAUUUGGGAUUCUUUAAACCAGUGCUACCUGGAUUUUAUUAAAAAGCGGGGACCUCUGGAGAAAGAAAGCUGGAUUUUCCAGGAAAGCAGAGCAAGCCGGGUCCCAGAGCCUGUUUGCUGGAGGGUGGAGGAGUUGGCGAGCCGAACGGAUGGACUAAAGGACAUUUUCAUACCAAAAAAAGGAAAGGCGGGCAAAAAGUCUGAGUUGGAUAUAAUUCCCGAGAGGGAAACAAGAACGGGGGGCAGGCGGCAGGAUGGCCGAGAGGCGAGGCGGUUAGGCGGGAAGGGGACUAUCCGCUCCAGCAGGCAAAGAAAAUGCCCCCAGCGGACUCUCCGCCGGCCGAAGACCAUGGAACUGCUCCGAGGCUUA